UACGAAGGGGGCUAGCGUUGCUCGGAAUACUGGGCGUAAAGCGCACGUAGGCGGACUAUUAAGUCAGGGGUGAAAUCCCGGGGCUCAACCCCGGAACUGCCUUUGAUACUGGUAGUCUCGAGUCCGGAAGAGGUGAGUGGAAUUCCGAGUGUAGAGGUGAAAUUCGUAGAUAUUCGGAGGAACACCAGUGGCGAAGGCGGCUCACUGGCCCGGUACUGACGCUGAGGUGCGAAAGCGUGGGGAGCAAACAGG
rnacentral:rRNA from 1 species